UAACUCUCCCCUUUGAAUAAUUUGUUUUGCAGCACCCACAAACUACUUCCAGUGACUAUGGACUCGACUGUUUCUCCCGGUUUCAAUAUCCCGUUAARAAGAGAAAGGAGAAGUGUCUAGUAGCUAGAGAACCUGUUCGGAACAGGAGUUGUCUUACAACGACAUAGACAGAACUCUACAACUUAAAACCCUCCCCUGAACACCGGAGGCACCACAACACCAGCGCAGCGGAAAUUCACAAGGUGUUUUUUGGGGGGAAGAGUUGAAGGGACGCAGAAACGCUCACCAGUGAAAGAUGAAGAUGCUGUGGUAUCUGGCUGCUCUGCAGCUGUUCCUGGCUCCAGCUCUCCUGCUGCCCAAUGGGGACUACUGGGAGAAUGGAGUCCCUAUGGAGAAUGUAGUCGAGCUGUGGGAGUGGGGUUACCCUAAGGACCAGGAAGAUGUGUCAGCCAGAGGACUGACGGAGGGAAUAACUGUGUGGGACCAGACAAGUCCUACAGCUCCUGUAAUAUCCAGG